rnacentral:tRNA from 1 species
CAAUUUAAAACUUUAAAAAUUAAGUAUUUCAUUUACAUUGAAAAGAUUAUUGUGCAAAUCAAUAUAAAUUGA